GGGCUGAUAGCUCAGCUGGGAGAGCGCCUGAUUUGCAUUCAGGAGGUCCGGGGUUCGAUCCCCCGUCGGUCCACCA
rnacentral:tRNA from 1 species